rnacentral:rRNA from 1 species
AGCGAACGCUGGCGGCAGGCCUAACACAUGCAAGUCGAACGAACCUUUCGGGGUUAGUGGCGGACGGGUGAGUAACACGUGGGAACGUGCCUUUAGGUUCGGAAUAACUCAGGGAAACUUGUGCUAAUACCGAAUGUGCCCUUCGGGGGUAAGAUUUAUCGCCUUUGGAGCGGCCCGCGUCUGUUUAGCUAGUUGGUUGAGGUAAUGGCUCACCAAGGCGACGAUCAGUAGCUGGUCUGAGAGGAUGAUCAGCCAGAUUGGGACUGAGACACGGUCCAAACUCCUACGGGAGGCAGCAGUGGGGAAUCUUGCGCAAUGGGCGAAAGCCUGACGCAGCCAUGCCGCGUGAAUGAUGAAGGUCUUAGGAUUGUAAAAUUCUUUCACCGGGGACGAUAAUGACGGUACCCGGAGAAGAAGCCCCGGCUAACUUCGUG